CCGGUUAAAAAAGUGCUGCUAUUUUGGCCAAUAAACAGAAUUAUGUGUGGUUUUCCUGUGAGGUGACCACAUGUGCUUUAUUCUGUCUAUAGAUUCUAAAGCAAAAGCCACAGCGCACAAAAGAGUGCUCAUGGUUUCAGUUAUCGGGCUGUGCGUACUGCUACUGCUGUCCGUUCUGCUCAUUUCUUUCGUUUUGAGGCACAGGAGAAAUGAAAGCAGAAGAAAGUAUGGAACAACAGGAUCAAGAUUUAAUCAGGACAUGAUGCUUCAAACCCACAGACUGGCACAGACAGGUGAUAGUGUUGUCCACUACACUUGAUACAACAGAUUGAAAGUGAGAUGAAUUUAAUUGUAAAAUAAGAGCAUUCCAAUGUGCUGUAGGUUCAGAAUCAUCUCAGAGUGAUGAUGAGAAUGGAGUAAGUAAAGAUAUUGCAAUGCCUUCAGCCGUUUAUGAAGAUAUUACUGUAAUUAUGUUUAUGCUCAGAGUUUAGUAAUUCAUAAUAAGCGUGUGUAUGUGUGCAGAUUUGCCCUGAUACAGGGGACAGUGAGCUCCACUAUGCUUCUUUGGGUCACCAGAACUGGAGAGAGAAAGGAAGAGUGCAGGACAAGACACAUCAGGUCAUCUACUCCACCAUCGCCAUUGCAGUACCUGACCAAGCCUGAGAAGAGAUACCGGUCUUUGUUCAUUUCACUAGUCAUGAUGUAACGCACUGGUAUCACUGGUGUCUGCCGUUGAAGUGAUCAGCAUUAAAUAUGAGUAAAUAUGACGAUGCUGGUAUGGCUUAUUCUCUCACUCACACACACAUACAAGCUUGCUUAUCAAGCACUGGGAUUGCCGGAGGUUCGAUGUGCCACAGCUGCAUAGGUCACCUCAUCUGAACGGAAUGAUAGGUCCUUCUGAGCAGAACUCUUUUUUUGGACGUAAAACUUUCAGGCUGGCAUAGUGCACGUCCCCACCCUAUAACCAAUGACAUGUCUUAAAUACAGUACGCAUGGGUUGUGACAUUUUUAGUGAGUGCAUACUUUUUUAAUAUAAAAAAAUACCUUCUGUUCUCGAGUGCGGGUUUUGCCUGUUAAGGAUUCGGAAGAAGAAAUGAAACAGCAGUAUUAUAGUUAUGCACAGUCUAGCACUUAUUCUGCACAAGGGAAAAAAAUGGUGGACACCUUGAAGGUGGCGGAGGAAGUAAGUACAGAGCGCACACAGGACGGCAGAAGCAGCACCCAUGCCAGCCGCAAGCACCCAGCAGAGAUCAGGACACCCACUCUCUUCACCUGAAGUGUGCACAAAGAUUGUGGAGGUUAUCAGUGCGGUCCACAGC
ensembl:lncRNA